UGCCUGCAGUUUAAAGGGCAAGUUAGCCAAGCGGACUUCAGAGGCACAGAAGACGGCAAGGUCCCUCUCUAGGGAGCUUUUCUACCCACCAUGGCUGUGCUCUGAACGUUUCACACACUUCCUCCUCUCAGCCCCGCCGGGCGUACUGCUCCACUCAGAGCUGAGGCCCCCGAGACCCUCAGGCGCGAGUGACACUGCCGGGCCCGUGCCGGGAGCUGGUGGGAGGUAGAUGUGAGAUAAAGUGAGGAGCACCUGACUUCAAGGUCAAAUAAGUUACGCUUGGUAAUAAUUGGAGAUGAGGGGUUGGGGAGAGGAAAGCCAGGAGGCUCUAACAGCCCUGGCUAAGCGACCAGUGACGGAGGGCGACAGAUCCAUGGUGAGGAGCUCAGAGGGAGGGACAAGAAUAGAAGCAGAGGAGACACCAUGGUGGCCUUAAGCAGGUGUUGGCAGUGGUCACAGCAAGGAUGGCAAGAAGUGUUCAGACCUGAAAUAUACUUUGGAGACAGAGGCUAGAGGCCUGGAGGCACAGCUGUACUCAGUGGAGCAAGACUGUUCAUCCUUCCAGGAGGUCACCUGAAGCUCAGCCAGGAUGGCAUGCUCUGCCCUGCAAACUCCGCAGAAGGAGCCCAUCUCUGGCCCCGCUCCUGUGACUAUGAGGAGUCUCCGCUGCCAGGCUUCCACCCUAAAAAGCAGCAUUGAUGACACAGACACCCACCGGGGACCCUGGAACCAGGAGGGCAGAGGCUGCUGAGCCAACUGUGUCACUGGGGCCCUGAAUGUGUGGGGUUGAGCUUGACAGGCCAGGUCCCCACGCACGUAAUGAGAUGGUAGGAGAGCUGAGGAGUGGCGCACCCCCUCCCAGCAGGGAAGACACAGCCUGAACCCCGAGAUGCAGACAGGGAGGGGCCGCCUAGGGGAGGCCACGGCCCAGUGGGUUUCCUGCGAUGGUGCCCUUCUCCUGUCCUUCAUUCAGACUGCACACGUUAUCUUACUGUAAUAAAUACAUCCUGUCUGGCAACACAACCUGGAUUACCUACUGAAGAAGCCAAUGAAAAAUGGCCAGGAUCUUUCUAGGGUUUCCCCUUCUGCAUAGCACAAGAUUCAUCAGCCCCUCUCACGACUGUGUGGCCAAAGGCAAGUCCGACUGCACUGGUGUGAACCCUGCAGGCCAGGUGCCCGUGGGGACACGAGAGAAGCAGUGCCCAGGGGUGUGGGCAGGAGCCACCAAGCACAGUGCUCUGGGGAUGGGCGCACACAGGGAGAAGACAC
rnacentral:lncRNA from 1 species